AUGAUAACAAGAUUAUUUUCUAUUUUUGAACCUUCUUCAAGAAUCUUUUCAUUAUCAAUCAAUUGAUUAUCAACUUUUGUUGGGUUACUUUUUAUUCCCUACCUUUAUUGAGCAGCACCCUCACGUUGAGCAUUAGUUUGAUCCAAAAUUAUGCAACUUCUUCACAAUGAAUUUCAAGCAAUUUUAGGACAAGCCACUAAAGGUUCAACUAUUUUAUUCAUUUCUUUAUUUAGAUUUAUUAUAUUCAAUAACACUCUCGGGCUGCUCCCAUAUGUGUUUACUAGAUCAAGACACCUUGCGAUAACUCUUACGCUUGCUUUACCUUUAUGGCUAACUUUUAUUUUAUUUGGUUGAAUUAACCAUACCCAACACAUGCUUGCUCAUAUGGUUCCCCAAGGAACACCAGGGCUUCUGAUACCAUUUAUAGUGUUAGUAGAAACUUUAAGAAAUAUUAUUCGACCAGGAACUUUAGCCGUUCGACUAGCAGCUAACAUAAUUGCAGGACAUCUUUUGUUGACACUUUUAGGCAAUAUAGGCCCUUCUUUGUCUUUGACUUUAGUGUCGUUUUUAAUACUAGCUCAAAUCCUUCUUUUAAUACUAGAAUCUGCUGUUGCAAUAAUUCAAUCGUAUGUAUUUGCUGUUCUAAGGACUUUAUAUGCCAGAGAAGUUAACUA
rnacentral:misc_RNA from 1 species